CGGCCCCUUUCGGGCAGCGCCCCGCACGGGGCGCUGAGGAACGAGGGGACCGCAGCGAGGGUCGUUUCUCCGCGGAGCCGCGUCGGGAGCAGCUCCCCGUGUGCUGUCGGCCGCCCUCGCAGCGCUGUGCCUGUCCCGGCCACGAAACGGAGCGCGCCUGGACGUGGUGUGCCUUUGGACUGCUCUUUGGUUCGAGAGAAAAUCCUACGGUAAAAGAUCACCGUACGGCAUGGUGUUUCUCUUUGAUGUCUGUGCAAGCCUCGGCUCCGGGCAGGUUACAAGUCUCCACGGCUUAUUCUUCCAUGGCGGGAGAGGGAGAGGCUGAAGAACAAGAAGAUUGAAUACAAGAGACUGGCACAACUACCUGGAAGUCUGUGAGAACAGAAGACUUCGGAAUACUUUUCAAUGACUGAAAUAUAACACGGAUUUUUUUUCUUAUUUGCAAAACCAGAGAGAAUACAAUACAUAUCCAGGUCACAUCAUUGUGUGGUUAGCUCUGAAGUGGUGAAAUCUUGCCCAUUUGUUUAUUUCCUGGACAUCGAGA
rnacentral:lncRNA from 1 species